rnacentral:rRNA from 1 species
AUGGCGGCCGCGGCGGCCUCCGUUGGACACAGCAGCAGAGGCGGCGGUGGGCGGAUCCAUCGGCUGGAGGUGGAGAAUUUUAAGUCGUACAAGGGAACGCAGACCAUCGGCCCCUUCUUCGACUUCACGGCCAUCAUCGGUCCCAAUGGCGCCGGCAAGUCCAAUCUCAUGGACGCCAUCAGUUUUGUGCUCGGCGUCCGCUCCGCACACCUCCGUGGCGCCCAGCUCAAGGACCUCAUCUACGCCCUCGACGACCGCGACAAGGAGGCCAAGGGUCGCAGGGCCUCCGUACGCCUCGUCUACAACCUCCCAGGCACCGGCGGCGAGCUUCACUUCACCCGCACCAUUACCGGCGCCGGUGGCAGCGAGUACCGUAUCGAUGGCCGACUCGUCACGUGGGACGACUACAACGCCAAGCUCAGAUCCCUCGGCAUUCUCGUCAAGGCCCGCAACUUCCUCGUUUUCCAGGGUGACGUGGAAUCCAUUGCCUCCAAGAAUCCUAAGGAGCUCACUGCACUUCUGGAGCAGAUUGCCGGCUCUGACGAGCUCAGGAGGGAGUACGACGAAUUGGAGGAACAGAAAACCAGUGCCGAAGAGAAAUCUGCACUUGUCUAUCAAGAGAAAAGGACCAUCGUCAUGGAGAGGAAGCAGAAGAAGGCGCAGAAGGAAGAGGCAGAGAAGCAUCUGCGCUUACAGCAGGACCUGAAACUGUUAAAAACAGAGCAUCUCCUAUGGCAACUCUACAGCAUUGAAAAAGACAUGGAAGCAAUAGAAGCCGAACUUGAGGAUGAUAGACGUUCUCUUCAGCAAGCGCGCGAAGAUAAUCAAUCCUCUGACAAUGGACUUGCUGCAAAAAGGAAGGAGCAAAGUGCAUUUCUCAAGAAAAUUACCUUAUGCGAGAAGAGUAUGUCGAAGAAAAAGGUUGAUAUUGACAAAAAGCAACCCGAGCUUCUUAGAUUGAAAGAGCAAAUAUCUCGGCUCAAAUCCAAAAUCAAAAGCUGCAACAAAGAGAUUGACAAAAAGAAGGAUGAUAACAAUAAACAUUUGGAAGAGAUGAAAAGGCUGCAGAGUGCUUUGGCUGAUGUCACAAGUGCUAUUGAGGAGUUGAACGAGCAAGGCCAAGAUAAAGGAGUGAAACUGCAAUUAGCCGAUGACCAAGUCCAGGAAUAUCAUAGAAUUAAGGAAGAUGCAGGAAUGAGGACAGCAAAGCUGCGAGAUGAGAAGGAAGUAUUAGACAAAGAGCUAAAUGCUGAUAUUGAAGCCAAAAAGAAUUUAGAGGAGAAUAUGCAACAGCUGCGUAGCCGUGUUGAUGAGAUAUCAUCACAGGAGAGUGAAUUGCAGACAAAGCUUAAUAAGAUUCUUCAUUCAAUCCCCAAGCAUGAAGAUGAGCUUACACGUUUACGCGAGGAUCAUAACAAGAUUGCAAAGGAACGCCAAUCUUCAGGAGCUAAGUAUCUGACAUUGAAGCAGAAGGUGGAUGAGAUAGAUACACAGUUACGUGAACUCAAAGCUGUGAAGCAUGAAAGUGAGCGGGAUGCUCGAUUUUCAGAAACUGUUAAGAGUCUUAAGAGGCUAUUCCCUGGAGUCCAUGGUCGCAUGACUGAACUUUGUCGGCCCUCACAAAAGAAAUACAACCUUGCUGUCACUGUUGCCAUGGGAAAAUUCAUGGAUGCAGUAGUGGUUGAAGAUGAAAGCACAGGAAAGGAAUGCAUUAAGUAUUUGAAGGAACAACGUCUUCCUCCACAGACAUUUAUUCCCUUACAAUCGAUCCGUGUGAAGCCAAUAACCGAGAGGUUGCGUACCCUUGGAGGAUCUGCACAAUUGAUCUUUGAUGUGAUACAAUAUCCUUUUUUUCUCUAUCUUGGUGAAUUUUGCUGCAUGCUCCUUUUUUUGGCUUUGGAGAAAGCAGUUCUGUAUGCUGUUGGGAAUACACUUGUCUGUGACAAACUUGAUGAAGCUAAAACUCUUAGUUGGAGUGGUGAAAGGUACAAGGUCGUUACUGUCGAUGGGAUACUUUUGACUAAAUCUGGCACAAUGACUGGUGGAGUAAGCGGUGGAAUGGAAGCAAGAUCAAAUAAAUGGGACGACAGCAGAAUAGAAUCUCUGAAGAAGAAGAAAAGUAAGCUAGAGGCUGAAAUGUCCGAACUUGGUUCCCCCAGGGAGUUGCAGAGAAAGGAGCUUGCUGUAUCUGAGAAAAUAACUGGACUCGAGAAAAAGUUACAUUACUCGAAUGUCGAACAGAAUAAUCUCAAAGAGAAGCUACACAAAUUGGCAUCUGAGAAACGUAAUAUUGAGAAAGAAAUUGAUCAUCUGGAGCCAGGAAAGGAGGAGUUGGAAAGCCGUCUUGCUAAAAACGAACGGGAAGUAAGAAAGCGGGAGAAAAAAAUAAAUGAGAUAGUCGACAGGAUCUACAAGGAUUUUAGCAUGUCAGUUGGUGUGAAGAACAUUCGUGAAUAUGAAGAAAAGCAACUGAAAGAUGCUCAAGCACUGCAGGAGAGGAAGCUAAGUCUGAGCAAUCAAUUAUCGAAACUGAAAUACCAGCUGGAAUAUGAACAAAAGAGAGAUAUGCAUGCUCCGAUUGCAAAGUUAAACAACACACAUGAGACCCUAGAGAAGGAGCUGAAGGGCUUGCAGGAGAGAGAAACUCGUGCUAAGGCUGAUGCUGAACAUAUUUCAAAUCAGAUGGAAGAGCUGAAGGCUGAGGCUGAAGACUGGAAGUUGAAGUCAGAUGAAUGUGAGACAGCAAUUGAGGAACUAAAGAAACAGAAUGAUAGUGUUGCUGCUGCAUUGGCAAAGCUGGAUCGCCAAGUGAAGUUAAAGGAGGGACAGAUAGUUCAACUUAGAUCACGCCAACGUGAGAUUCAUGAGAAGUGCGAACUGGAGCAGUUAAAGCUUCCUACAGUUAAUGAUCCAAUGGACACUGGAUCAUCCUCACAGGAACUUGUCCUUGAUUACAACCAGCUUAGUGAAAUCUACCUGAAAGAAGUGCGGCUGUCUGACCGUGACAAACUUGAGGCAGAGUUCAAACAAAAAAUAGGUACACUAAUGGCUGAGAUUGAACGCACUGCUCCAAACUUAAAAGCACUGGAUCAAUAUGAAGCACUUCAAACGAAGGAAAAAGAGGUGAGCGAGAAGUUUGAAGCAGCUAGGAAAGAAGAGCGAGAGGUGGCUGACAAGUAUAACUCUGUCAAGCAAAGAAGGUAUGAGCUGUUCAUGGAAGCCUUUGAUCAUAUAUCUAAAGGCAUAGACAAAAUCUAUAAGCAGUUAACAAAAAGUCACACACAUCCACUCGGAGGAACAGCAUAUUUAAAUCUAGAAAAUGAAGAUGAGCCAUUUCUUCAUGGAAUCAAGUACACAGCUAUGCCACCUACGAAGCGCUUUAGGGAUAUGGAACAGUUAUCCGGUGGGGAGAAGACUGUUGCUGCACUGGCAUUGCUUUUUGCCAUUCACAGUUUCAGGCCAUCACCAUUCUUCAUACUGGAUGAAGUCGAUGCAGCUCUAGAUAAUUUAAAUGUUGCCAAGGUUGCUGGGUUUAUUCGAUCAAAGUCAUGCGAACGUGCUGGCGAAGAGCAAGAUGGUGAGGGAGGUUGUGGGUUUCAGAGUAUUGUCAUAUCGCUGAAGGAUAGCUUCUACGACAAAGCUGAAGCACUGGUUGGUGUUUAUCGGGAUUCAGAAAGAAGCUGCUCCAGAACCCUCACCUUCGACCUUACGAAGUAUAAAGAAGCAUGA